GGACGGGUGAGUAAUACUUAGGAAUCUACCUAGUAGUGGGGGAUAGCUCGGGGAAACUCGAAUUAAUACCGCAUACGACCUACGGGAGAAAGGGGGCAACUUGUUGCUCUCGCUAUUAGAUGAGCCUAAGUCGGAUUAGCUAGAUGGUGGGGUAAAGGCCUACCAUGGCGACGAUCUGUAGCUGGUCUGAGAGGAUGAUCAGCCACACCGGGACUGAGACACGGCCCGGACUCCUACGGGAGGCAGCAGUGGGGAAUAUUGGACAAUGGGGGCAACCCUGAUCCAGCCAUGCCGCGUGUGUGAAGAAGGCCUUUUGGUUGUAAAGCACUUUAAGCAGUGAAGAAGACUCUAUGGUUAAUACCCAUAGACGAUGACAUUAGCUGCAGAAUAAGCACCGGCUAACUCUGUGCCAGCAGCCGCGGUAAUACAGAGGGUGCAAGCGUUAAUCGGAAUUACUGGGCGUAAAGCGAGCGUAGGUGGCUUGAUAAGUCAGAUGUGAAAUCCCCGGGCUUAACCUGGGAACUGCAUCUGAUACUGUUGAGCUAGAGUAGGUGAGAGGGAGGUAGAAUUUCAGGUGUAGCGGUGAAAUGCGUAGAGAUCUGAAGGAAUACCGAUGGCGAAGGCAGCCUCCUGGCAUCAUACUGACACUGAGGCUCGAAAGCGUGGGUAGCAAACAGGAUUAGAUACCCUGGUAGUCCACGCCGUAAACGAUGUCUACUAGUCGUUGGGUCCCUUGAGGACUUAGUGACGCAGCUAACGCAAUAAGUAGACCGCCUGGGGAGUACGGCCGCAAGGUUAAAACUCAAAUGAAUUGACGGGGGCCCGCACAAGCGGUGGAGCAUGUGGUUUAAUUCGAUGCAACGCGAAGAACCUUACCUGGUCUUGACAUAUCUAGAAUCCUGCAGAGAUGCGGGAGUGCCUUCGGGAAUUAGAAUACAGGUGCUGCAUGGCUGUCGUCAGCUCGUGUCGUGAGAUGUUGGGUUAAGUCCCGCAACGAGCGCAACCCUUUUCCUUAGUUACCAGCGGGUUAUGCCGGGAACUCUAAGGAUACUGCCAGUGACAAACUGGAGGAAGGCGGGGACGACGUCAAGUCAUCAUGGCCCUUACGACCAGGGCUACACACGUGCUACAAUGGUAGGUACAGAGGGCAGCUACACAGCGAUGUGAUGCGAAUCUCAAAAAGCCUAUCGUAGUCCAGAUUGGAGUCUGCAACUCGACUCCAUGAAGUAGGAAU
rnacentral:rRNA from 1 species